rnacentral:antisense_RNA from 1 species
UGCUAUGGCGGCUGUGCGCGGGACACCUUCGGGUGUGUCGGGCUUCCAUUCUUGUCCCGGCCGGCUAACCCGCGCCCAGCUGCCACCUAU